rnacentral:lncRNA from 1 species
CGCCUUAAUCACCAUCCCAACCCCUUCCUUCACAGCCCCACACAGGCUAAAAAAGAAAUCCGCACCCACAGCCUCCCACUUGCGCCCUGACCCUGCUCCGUAUCCGGAUUUCCAACAUUGACUCAAACUGCUCUCAUCGGACGCUUCCCCCACAACCGCUUGGAGGGACCUGGUCCCUUGGGAGCCUCUUCCCGGGACCCCAGGAUGCGCCAGGCUCAGUGCCCCCACCCGUGGCGCCCUCUCUGCCUCCCUGCCAGCCGUCCGCAAGGCCCUGCACCUACAGUGCCUCAAACUCGGUAGCUGCUAGUGGAUUCUGAGAACAGAUGCCAUUGAAAUCCUCAAGCACCAGAACUCCUGGGACCCCCUCAUUAGACUGCCUAUGAAGACAAAUUUACUGUGUAUCCUUGGUCCAAAACCUUAUACUCCUUGAGUCUCUGCC